GUGUCAGCAGCCGCGGUAAUACCAGCACCCCGAGUGGUCGGGAUGAUUAUUGGGCCUAAAGCAUCCGUAGCCGGUGUAACAAGUCCUCCGUUAAAUCCACCUGCUUAACAGGUGGGCUGCGGAGGAUACUGUUACACUAGGAGGCGGGAGAGGCGAGGGGUAUUCCACGGGUAGGGGUAAAAUCCUCUGAUCCGUGGAGGACCACCAGUGGCGAAGGCGCCUCGCCAGAACGCGCUCGACGGGGAGGGAUGAAAGCUGGGGGAGCAAACCGGAUUAGAUACCCGGGUAGUCCCAGCCGUAAACGAUGUAGGCUCGGUGAUGGACUGGCUCCGAGCCAGUCCAGUGCCGCAGGGAAGCCGUUAAGCCUACCGCCUGGGGAGUACGGCCGCAAGGCUGAAACUCAAAGGAAUUGACGGGG
rnacentral:rRNA from 1 species